UACAGAGGUGGCAAGCGUUGUUCGGAAUUACUGGGCGUAAAGGGCUCGUAGGCGGCCAACUAAGUCGGAUGUGAAAUCCCCAAGCUUAACUUGGGAACUGCAUCCGAUACUGGAUGGCUUGAAUCCGGGAGAGGGAUGCAGAAUUCCAGGUGUAGCGGUGAAAUGCGUAGAUAUCUGGAGGAAUACCGGUGGCGAAGGCGGCAUCCUGGACCGGCAUUGACGCUGAGGAGCGAAAGCUAGGGGAGCAAACGGG
rnacentral:rRNA from 1 species